rnacentral:rRNA from 1 species
GACGAACGCUGGCGGCGUGCUUAACACAUGCAAGUCGAGCGGAAAGGCCCUUCGGGGUCCUCGAGCGGCGAACGGGUGAGUAACACGUGAGUAACCUGCCCCAGACUUUGGGAUAACCCUCGGAAACGGGGGCUAAUACCGGAUACGACACAGCUUCGCAUGGGGUCUGUGUGGAAAGUUUUUCGGUUUGGGAUGGGCUCGCGGCCUAUCAGCUUGUUGGUGGGGUGAUGGCCUACCAAGGCGACGACGGGUAGCCGGCCUGAGGGGGCGACCGGCCACACUGGGACUGAGACACGGCCCAGACUCCUACGGGAGGCAGCAGUGGGGAAUAUUGCACAAUGGGCGGAAGCCUGAUGCAGCGACGCCGCGUGAGGGAUGACGGCCUUCGGGUUGUAAACCUCUUUCAGCAGGGACGAAGCGUAAGUGACGGUACCUGCAGAAGAAGCGCCGGCCAACUACGUG